GACGAACGCUGGCGGCGUGCUUAACACAUGCAAGUCGAACGGAAAGUGCUCUUCGGAGUGACUCGAGUGGCGAACGGGUGAGUAACACGUGGGUGAUCUGCCCUGCACUUUGGGAUAAGCCUGGGAAACUGGGUCUAAUACCGAAUGGGACCGCAACAUUCAUGUGUUGUGGUGGAAAGCUUUUGCGGUGUGGGAUGGGCCCGCGGCCUAUCAGCUUGUUGGUGGGGUAAUGGCCUACCAAGGCGACGACGGGUAGCCGGCCUGAGAGGGUGACCGGCCACACUGGGACUGAGGUACGGCCCAGACUCCUACGGGAGGCAGCAGUGGGGAAUAGUGAACAAUGGGCGCAAGCCUGAUGCAGCGACGCCGCGUGGGGGAUGACGGCCUUCGGGUUGUAAACCUCUUUCAGUAGGGACGAAGCGCAAGGGACGGUACCUACAGAAGGAGCUCCGGCCAACUACGGGCCAGCCGCCGCAGUAA
rnacentral:rRNA from 1 species